UACAGAGGGUGCGAGCGUUGUCCGGAAUCACUGGGCGUAAAGGGCGCGUAGGCGGCUUGAUAAGGUUGCGGUGAAAGCCCGGGGCUCAACCCCGGGUCGGCCGUGGCAACUGUCGAGCUGGAGCACUGUAGAGGCAGCUGGAAUUCCGGGUGUAGCGGUGGAAUGCGUAGAGAUCCGGAAGAACACCGGUGGCGAAGGCGGCCUGCUGGGCAGUGGCUGACGCUGAGGCGCGACAGCGUGGGGAGCAAACAGG
rnacentral:rRNA from 1 species